UACAGAGGUCUCGAGCGUUGUUCGGAUUUAUUGGGCGUAAAGGGCGCGUAGGCUGCGGGGUAAGUCAGGUGUGAAAUCUCAGAGCUCAACUCUGAAAUUGCACUUGAUACUGCUCUGCUAGAGGACUGGAGAGGAGAUUGGAAUUCACGGUGUAGCAGUGAAAUGCGUUGAUAUCGACCGGAACUCCGGUGGCGAAGGCGAGGCGCUGGACCCUUUCUGACGCUGAGGCGCGAAAGCCAGGGGAGCAAACGGG
rnacentral:rRNA from 1 species